rnacentral:tRNA from 1 species
GCGCACGUGGUGAAAUUGGUAGACACGCCAUCUUGAGGGGGUGGUGCCCUACGGGCAUGGAAGUUCGAGUCUUCUCGUGCGCAC